rnacentral:rRNA from 1 species
UACGGAGGGUGCAAGCGUUAUCCGGAUUCACUGGGUUUAAAGGGGGCGUAGGUGGGCAGGUAAGUCAGUGGUGAAAUCUCCGGGCUUAACUCGGAAACUGCCAUUGAUACUAUCUGUCUUGAAUACCGUGGAGGUUAGCGGAAUAUGUCAUGUAGCGGUGAAAUGCUUAGAUAUGACAUAGAACACCAAUUGCGAAGGCAGCUGGCUACACGAAUAUUGACACUGAUGCACGAAAGCGUGGGGAUCAAACAGG